rnacentral:rRNA from 1 species
CCUACGGGAGGCAGCAGUGAGGAAUAUUGGACAAUGGGUGAGAGCCUGAUCCAGCCAUCCCGCGUGCAGGAAGACGGCCCUAUGGGUUGUAAACUGCUUUUAUACAGGAAUAAACCACCUUACGUGUAGGGUGUUGAAGGUACUGUAUGAAUAAGCACCGGCUAACUCCGUGCCAGCAGCCGCGGUAAU